GAUAUUUUCAAAUCUGAAUCAGCUGAUCACCAAACGGAAACGCUAUGGAGUCUACUGGUGAGGCCACGCCACGGAUUGCUGAUUGAGAUCGGUGAUAAAGGGAAAUGGAGUGCUAUGAACAGUCCACAGUUUUGUUGCUUCAUCACCGCACAUAAGAAUCUAGAUCUAAUUCAUUCAUAUGAAGACGCCAACACGUUCCGGUGAAGGGCUGCAUAUUUUAACCUGUACUCAGCACUAAAGCCUUUGAAAAGUGAGAGAUCUUUUUCGUACCAACACCUACAUGAACUGCGACACUGGAACUCGGUUUAUAUGGUUUCAUUCAAAGGACCGGACAAUCUACAUGCAGUGAUGUCAGAGACUGAUGAUUCAAACAAAAUUCUGCUUUUUAAAAAAGACAAGUGUUCUUCAUUCCUAAAAGUAGAGGGAAGGGACAGUAGAGGACAUGAACAGUAUGAUGUAAUGGUGGAUUUAUAACUUACAAUAAAAAAAUUCUAGAAAGUGAAUUUGUUGAAAGAAAUAAAGAAAAAAAACUUCAUUUGUUCAUGUGAACACCAUGAUUCUUUUAAUUUAUUUAUUUGACUUUAUUGACAUAAUAUAAUGCAAGUGAAAAAGAGUGAAUAUGGGACAUGAAUUGUAAAACUAUUAAUCUAAUAAUUCCAUGAUUACACUAUUUCAUAAAAUUCUAAAAGAUGUUAUGGGACACUUUUUAAUUUCAUUUAUAUUAUAAUUUCAUUGGUUAACUUGGCAUUGACUAUAAAUAAAUUGUAAUUUUUA